UAAAACAAUGAUUUAUGACCCUCAAGGUCAAAGGUCAAUGAUUUAUGAGGGGUCAAGUUCAAAGGUUAAUGAUUUAUGAGGGGGUCAAGGUUAAAGGUCAAAGUCAAAGGUCAGGUUCAAAUGUCAGGUUCAAAUGUCAAGGUCAAGUGGGUGUGGCUUACCCGGAAGAGGGUGGAGUUAAGACCUGCGGUGGGAGUGGUUAAACCAGGAAGAGGGUGGAGUUUUAAACAGAAAGAGGGCAGAGUUAAGACCUGCGGUGGGAGUGGUUAAACCAGGAAGAGGGUGGAGUUAAGACCUGACAGGGAACAGAGGAGGGUUCAGUUUUUUUUAAGAAAGCAAUGUCAUCUGAGCAGCAUGUGACCAUAUAUUUGAUAGUUUAAAUGUUUACGAUCGUUUGAAACAACUUCCAGAUUUCGAUGUAUUGAUGGCUGGGAAUGUUACGUGUGGAGAUGUGGACACGCACGCACUUCACACACACACACACACACACACACACACACACACACACACACACACACACACACACACACACACACACACACAUUCGUACGCACUGUUAUUACCAUGUUAUUAGACAUUGUCUUAGUCAUUAUUUGGAGCUUUAUACGUUAGCGUAAAGACUUUGUUCGAUUCGGUCAUGAUUUGUGAAACGCCUGUUUCGAUUGAUAAAAAUAAUAAAACUUACAUUGACGCUCCGCAAAAAAGUCGAGUGUUUCUAAAUCGUAUUCAGUUUUCAGCUAAAAGAAAGAAGAGACGGAAGCCCUUUCUCGAUAUUUUCAUCGUUAUCUACCGUGGAUUGGGAAGUUUUUGGUGGACACGCACACACGCACACACACGCACACACACACACACUUCACACACACACACACACACACACACACACACACACACACACACACACACACACACACACACACACACACACACACACACACACACACACACACACACACACACACACACACACACACAUUCGUACGCACUGAAACAACUUCCGUACCUCACGAAAACAUAUUUAAACAGAUGGAAAAAACUAUCGCAGAACACAGUGUCACGUAGCAACUGGUCUUUACGGUCGUUUGAAUCAACAGGUCAGUUUGGGGGACAAAAGGAGGGUUCAGUUUUUACUGACUUCCCAUCUGACAGUUUAAAUGUUUAUGACCGUUUGAAUCAACAGGACACGCACGCACACACACACACACGCACGCACACACACACACACACACACAUACACACACACACGCACACACACACACACACACACACACACACACACACACCAUUACCUCUGCUUUACCAUGUUAUUAGACAUUGGUUUAACUCCAUUUAAGCAUUUAAACGUUAAAAGCAUUGCACUUGUACGACGUUGUAAUACUUUUUUUUUACCAGCCGAUGACGACGAAGUGAAAGACGAUGAACUUUGCUUAAACAGUCUUACAAAGUUGGAAGAUGAUUAUCGAGGUGUGUUUAAACCUUCGAAUUAUUUAAUAUUGUGUGUAUUCAUUAUUUUGUUUUAUAGAGGAUUUGCCGUAAGAUCCUAACGCGAUCGUUUUAACACAAUCGCAGUCUGCUGGCGGGUCCGUCAACGGCCGUUCCAGGCAGAGGAGAAGGCUUGAUUGUGCCAAAGACUCCAGACAUCGAAUCCUUGCUCCGAGGGGAAAUCAUCGAAAACGACGGUGAAUGUCCAACAGGCACCCGCUAUUGGUAACACUGGACAAGUCGGAUAUCCUUGCUUGGAUCCUUUUAAAGUUGCCCGAUAAACUGCUGAGAGUUGAUCUCUCCUCUUGUCCAAAGGUUUUUCGUUCAUUUUUACUUGUAAUACUGGCACUAGGGUUGAUGUAGUAGCUCCACAACAUAACCUUAAAGCCUGUGACUGGAUCCGGUCUAUUUUCCCAAGUCAUGUUUUUGAAGCAGAUUGGUAAAUAAUGCAUCCGUAAUCAAUAACAGAUGGAAUUAAAGUUAUAAA